GUCAAAAAGGAGGAAGUUCUUGGGCUUCCCUGGUGGAUUCUUAACCACUGUGCCGCCAGGGAAGUCCAGCCAUGUCCUUUAUGGUUAGUGUUUUUUUGUGGAUGUGUGCCCAGAUGAAUAUUUUUUCAACUUGAGGUCAUACAAGCAUUACCGUAUACUACUAUCUACUAAAGGCUCUUUUAGUUUACUUUCAUAUUUCAGUUGAUAUCUGCCUGGAAUUGUUUCUGUGAUGUGAAAUUGCCAUCAUACUUGUUUCCACUCCCCCGCAUGGACAUACCCCGUUGUUCCAGCACUGUCUACUGAAAAGACUGUCCUUUCCCCACUAAACUGCACUGUCACCUUUGUCACAAAUCAAAUGCCCAUAUACAUGUGGGUUUCUUUCUGCACUCUAGAUUCUGUUUCAUUGCUCUGCUUAUCUCUCCAUAUCAAUGUCAUACUCAGCUUUCAAAUGCAUCUUGAUAACUGCAAGAACAAUUUUCCCACCUUGUUCUUUUUAAGAAUGUCUUAGCUAUUCUUGACCUUUUGCAUUCUGUAUAAAUUUUAGACUCAGCUUAUUAUUUUCUUAAAGAAAAAAUGAACAUAAUAGGGAUUGAUUGAUAUUGCAUUGAAUUUGUAGAUCAAUUUGGGGAGAAUUAACAUUUUUACAGUAUUGAGUUCUCCAAACUACAAAUAUCUCACCAUUUGUUUAUGUCUUCUUCAAUUCUCUCAAUAGCAUUUUAUCAUUUUCUGCAUAAACAGCUUGCACAUCUUUUGUUAGAUUUAGUCCUAAGUACUUGAUAUUCUGAUGCUAUGGUAAAUUGGUUUUUGUUGUUGUUGUUUGUUUUUGUUUUUUUGGGUGAAGUAGAAAAGAAUAGCUUUAUUGCUUUGCCAGGCAAAGGGGGCCACAGCAGGCUCAUGCCCUCAAACCUGUGUGUCCCAUCCUGGAGGGGGAAGUGAAAAGUUUUACAGUAAUGGUUCAAAGAGGAGGGCAUGAUCAGGUGGUGGACAUGCUUCUAAUUGGUUGAUGGGGAGGUAAGUGGGAGUUAGUUAGCAUCAUCAGCCUUCUGGUUCAAACCAGUCUGGGGUCUACGUGCUUGUGGGCAGCAUAGAGUUAACUUCUCCCACCUGGUGGGGGUUUCCGUAUGAUUUUAGAUGCUAUCCAUUCCAAGGUAUUCUCUCAACCAGGUGUUAGUGCCCAAAAAGUUCUCGCAAAGAAAUGGCACAGAAGACAUCCCAGUGGUGCUGACGAGCGGGAGUUGGUCUAGCUAUAAGUUGGGAAUAAAGGGUCAGCACCUGGUUUCAGGACUUAAUGAAGCUCAGGUUCUUGAUGUCUCAUCACAGAAAGAAUUUAGUGAGAGACAAAGUGACAGGUAAAAAGUAGACUUAUUUAUAGAGAAACACAUUCCACAGACAGAGUGUGGGCCAUCUCAGAAGGCGAGAGUGGCCUUGGGAGACACACUCCACAGACAGUGUGGGCCAUCUCAGAAGGUGAGAAAGGCCGGUAAAUUGUAUUUUUAUUUCAUGUUGUGGAUAUAUAGAAACACAAUCACUUUUUUUGGUUGACUUUAUAUCCAGCAACCUUGCUAAAUUCUCUUUUUGAUUUUAACAAUUUAUCUGUAGGUUUUUCUUACAAUCUGGAGAUCAGAAAACUACUGCUGCUGUUACCGCUGUUGCCUCUGCCACAACUGCCUCACCCAGAAA